CGGGCGUUAAGUUGCAGGGUAUAGACCCGAAACCCGGUGAUCUAGCCAUGGGCAGGUUGAAGGUUGGGUAACACUAACUGGAGGACCGAACCGACUAAUGUUGAAAAAUUAGCGGAUGACUUGUGGCUGGGGGUGAAAGGCCAAUCAAACCGGGAGAUAGCUGGUUCUCCCCGAAAGCUAUUUAGGUAGCGCCUCGUGAAUUCAUCUCCGGGGGUAGAGCACUGUUUCGGCAAGGGGGUCAUCCCGACUUACCAACCCGAUGCAAACUGCGAAUACCGGAGAAUGUUAUCACGGGAGACACACGGCGGGUGCUAACGUCCGUCGUGAAGAGGGAAACAACCCAGACCGCCAGCUAAGGUCCCAAAGUCAUGGUUAAGUGGGAAACGAUGUGGGAAGGCCCAGACAGCCAGGAUGUUGGCUUAGAAGCAGCCAUCAUUUAAAGAAAGCGUAAUAGCUCACUGGUCGAGUCGGCCUGCGCGGAAGAUGUAACGGGGCUAAACCAUGCACCGAAGCUGCGGCAGCGACACUGUGUGUUGUUGGGUAGGGGAGCGU
rnacentral:rRNA from 1 species